UACAGCCACAUCGCGUUGAAACACCGGCUCCUGUACGAUCACGGUAGUUAAACAACGUCGAGCCUGGUCAUUAGCUAGAUGGGUGACCGCUUGGGAAUACCGGGUGCUAUA